GGGAAGCCUGGCAUGCUGCAGUCCAUGGGGUCUCAAAGAGUUGGACAUGGCUGAGUGACUGAAGUGAGCUGAACUGAAGGAAUAUGUUGGAGACCAAAUAAGCUUCCUACCCUUGUGCGUGUGUGCGUGCUCUGUCACAUCUGACUCUUUGUGACCCUGUGGACUGUAGCCCGCCAGGCUCCUUUGUCCAUAGUAUUUCCCAGGCAAGAAUACUGGAAUGGAUUUCCAUGCCCUCCUCCAGGGGAUCUUCCUGACCCAGGAUGCAAACCCACAUCUGUGCUGGCAGGCAGGAUUUUUGCCACCAGCCAGCUGGGAAGCCCCUACCUUCACAUUCUGUUAAGAAGGAAUUCGAGUUCUAGACCAAGUGUCAGCAAACGCUUUCUGGAAAAGGCCAGAUGGAGCUGCACGGUCGCUGUCUCUGGGCAUCUUCUCUGUUGACCUCCCACCUAAGCCAGUCUCCUCUGCACAGUCAUCUUGCUUCCUUCAUCAGCACAGCUGCCAGUCCAGCCCUCUGUCAUGAUCUCCAAGCUCCAGGAGCCACCACCAACUGACAACAACCUCUGUCUCUUCAGGCAGAACCUCAUACGGAAGUGCCUCAUCAGGCCACAUCCUGCUUUUCUCACACUGGACUUGCUGUUUUGGAUUGAAGGGAUGCAAAAGAUUCUCAGAAGGGGCCACGAAUGGGGCAGACAGUGAGACCCAUUUGCUAUAUCCUUGCUUAUCUGAGUUUUCAUUGUGCUGUCCAUCAUGCUCCACCAUAUGGUCUAGGAGACAUAAGAGGUCACAUAAUCAUCGUGGUGAAUCACUGUGUAGAAUGUGGCAUCUGCUCUAAGUGGGGUUAUGAUCGGGUUGAUGCGAUAAGGCCCAAGCCCAUGAACAGGAAACGAGUCAUGCUAGGCAGCCCAUGAGGAGCAUAAGAUGACUGGCACAGACAGGAGGGGUUUUAAAGAUUUAGAGAAGGGAGAGACCAUUGCGGGUAAGGAAAGCCAACGAGGACUUCCCAAGAGAGGUGGGGUAGAAGUGGAUCUGAAGGGAAGGGAAUGAUUUGGGGAGAAAGUGGAGAGGAGAGGCGUUCUAGGUUAGGGCAGAGGCGGUGUGGGUGGGUCUACAUGAUGCAUGCUCCGGGGACUACAAAUAGGUCAGCCUUUUAUGAGUAUAAGGUAUAUAUUGGAAAGUAUAAGAAGGUACGUUAGGAAAAAUGUGCAUGCUCAGUUACUCAGUUGCUCAGUCAUGUCGGAUCCUUU
ensembl:lncRNA